CAUCCCUCCCCUCCUGCCCACCCGUGGGGAUGGUGUGUAUGAAUGAACCAUCCUUCCAAUGCCUUUCCGUCUUUUCUGGUCCAGGUGUGGAAAAGGGAAGC
rnacentral:pre_miRNA from 1 species